UCUCCAGACAGCCGAGCCGGUGUGACGUCUGCCAAGGGUCGAAUACAGAGAGCAGAAAGGGAUGCCAUAGCUCCCCAUUGCCAGGCAGGACCGGUGAACUAACUUGUGGUCAGCCCGGCAGGCUGUUGCAGAGCACAGACUGCCUGCCCUAGGAGUCCUGCAGGAUUAGAAGUGUCUCUCAGGCUCAGUCAUGGUUGGACUGCUUAGACAUUGCUGCAGGGACCCACAGGGGCCUCAGCCCCCGUCUCCCGACUGUGGCCCUUGUAGCAGAGCAGCACGCUCUUGGUUCACAAAGGUGGAGUGAGCUUGGACUCCUGACACCGACUUAAGUUAUGGGAAAGGAGCAUGGGACUACGGCCUUCCGGAAGCUUCCAAAUUUAAACCAACCCCACAGACACGAGACAGAACCGCCUAUAGAGAAUUGUAUUAUAGCCAAGUGCCAGAGUAUAUAUUUAUCUGUGCCUGAGAUUCCCAUCUCUCUUUAAAGAAAGAGCCUCACACUUGGGGGGAAAAUGAAGUGGAAAAAAAUGUACUAUUGAACAAAUAUUCAGGAUGGUUGCUCAUACGAAAUGAUGAACUGGGUUGAAUUCAAAACAAAAAAAAGCUGCCCAUGGUGAA